UUCGUCCAAACAGUGUCUGAACUUUUCCAGACUAUUAAUUUUCAUACCUAUACUUUGAAAAAUAUCAUACUAGUACCUGAAGUUUUGGCCCCGACCCAAUUUCCAUACCUGGCAACAGUAAAAACGUUAACUCUGUUAACUUUUAAAGGGUUUUUUCGUCAUUUUACUAUUCAUCCUCCUAUCUUAUCUGAAACCAUCCUCUUCUUCUCCUCCACCCAAACCGUCUCCAUCUUCUUCUUUCUUUUCUCCCUUCUCCUUCCUUCUGGUCUGCAGCGAUGGAUGGUUUGCAGGGAGGCAAGGUCGGGCGAGCGUGGAUGCUGUCAGGCGGGGAGGCAUACGCGGGGCUGCGGAGGCCUAGGGUGCAGCGCUGGACAAGGCUGAGGCCCGUGUGGGCUGGCGGGGAUUGGGGAUGAGUGGGCUGCUACGUCGUCGCCGAUCUGGGUGCUGCGACGGUGGGGAGCUGACGAAUCCGAUCUGGGUGCUGCGACGGUGGAGAGCGCCGGCGAGCAAUGGCCUUCUCGGGUCGUGCGAGGCUAGGCGAGAGUUGGGCCAUGCGUACAGGUGCAGCAGCGCCGUUGCAGGUGAGGAGGCGGGGUGUGCAAGGCGCGGGCUGCCGGACGCGAGUCUACUGCAGGCAGGGAGGGUGGCAGGCCAGUCUGGGGAAGCCGAGGUGAGGGCAGGCUACCUUGACUUGUGUAGUUGCUCAAUUUUGCAUUUGUUUGGUAGAAAUUGCAUAAUUUAUGGUGUUUUAGGUGGAUUUGGCUUGGUGGGUGUGUUAGGAUAGCUUAAAGUUGUUUGAUUUUGUGUAAUUUUGCAAAAAGUUUGAAGCUUUGUGAUGCAUAAUGUAUGUUUGGGAGGAAUGUAUAUGAAUGAGCUAAUCGGUCUGAGUUGAAAGGAAGAGAAAUUGGCUUUAGUGCAUUGUUAAUUUGUUAUGGUGAGCUAAUCAGUAUAUGGGAAAUGUAAGGGAAUGCUGAAAACUUUUUUGGAUUUUGUGUGCAAAGACUGAAGCUUUGAGA